rnacentral:lncRNA from 1 species
CUCGUUCGGAGCGGUCGUACUGGUGCGUACUCUUCUUGUGCAUGCACUAUAUCUAGAAUUAUGUUAUGUUAAAGGGGCAUCUAGAUGCAUACUGUUGUGGCUGCCAUUAAAUGCAUGUCUUCUCAAACUAUUUAAAAGGAAGUGUUGUUGCCGUGCCAUUUAGGUAGUUUCAAAAGAUAUGAUGUGCUUGGCUGUUAAUGUUUUAGUGUGUGCUUCUCACCUGCUGUAAAAGGCCAAUUCGGGCAUUGUAGCUGCUUCAGUAUUUGAUCUUCAUAUAUUUUGCUUUUGCAAUAUCCUGUUCUAACAUCUGAAAAUGGAAUACUUUAACAAUAUAAUCUUCCUGACUUUCUGCAACUGAUUUUUGCUGUAGUCCAAAAUUAUAUGUUUGUGUUUAUUGCCUUUUUUAGUGUGUUGAUAUUUGAAAGGGGAACAGGGCAACGUGUUGCACUCUUGCUUUUGUUAGAGCACUAUAUUUUAUUGUUAACCAUGCUAUGGUCCAAACUCCUUUUUAUUCUGCUCAUAUGAUAUUGCUCAUCUUUUGUUUUCUGUCCGAUGCCUCCUGUAUUUAGAGUAGAAAUAUUCUUAAUUUAGUGUUUCUUGAACAUGGCCAGGGCAAUGGAUAAAAUCUACUCUGGAUAGUUGACAGAGGGAGUACAUGCUAAGUUGACUUUUUUCCUGCGGAUUUGCUUAUCGUGAAGAUGCUUGCAAGGAUGCAGAGGGAGCGGAUCAUUUGGAGAGAUAGGAUGCCACUGUUUGGUGUUUUUAUGCAUUUUGGUUUGCUUGUAACUGUGUUUGCACUAGCUGGGAGUAACUGACUUGGCAAGAAGUGUAGGUGUUUUAAUUGAAGGCAUGAAAAGCCAUGACAAUAUGUAUGCUCUUACAGGAUGUGCUCUAAUGCCGCUGGUUUAUUAUAAAUCUUGGAUUAGUAAU